AGGGAAGCUGUGAUGGCUAGACCAAAGUUCUUGUAUGGCUCAAACCUCUGCAGUGCAAAUACCUUGGGAAUACCUGACAGACUGCAAUUUACUUCAGAUCUUCUUGGGACUGUGAGAAGAUGGACUAAGGGCUGGAGUGGUAAUCUGGAUUCACCUUGUUACCAGAGCACUGCAUGAAGAUGCCUUUUGAGGUAUCUCUGUGUAUGUUGAGAGUUAAUGACAAGACCACCAUCUACAGAUAAUCACGCUAAUUCCACUGCGAUGCUGAAGCUCUUUCUUAAGGCAAGGUGGGCUGUGGUGUCCAUAGCCCAGCCUCAUCUAUCUGACACUGAAGACUCAUAUAGUAUCAUACUCAUGGUAUCUGCUCUGGGCAUUCACCCACGGAUGGAGCACAUCCCACUGGAGGGUUUACCUUGCAUGAGAGCUGGAAAAGAGGAAGCAGGAAAAUAGCCACAAGCCAGGCUGUUCACUGCAAGAAAGCAAUCUGAGCAAGCACAUUCAGCUUUCA
rnacentral:lncRNA from 1 species